UACGUAGGGGGCAAGCGUUGUCCGGAUUUAUUGGGCGUAAAGCGCUCGCAGGUGGUUCGUAACGUCGUGCGUGAAAGACCCUGGCUCAACUGGGGAGUGUCGUGCGAUACGGGCGGACUAGAGGCCAGUAGGGGGAUGCGGAAUUCCGGGUGUAGUGGUGGAAUGCGUAGAGAUCCGGAGGAACACCAGCGGCGAAGGCGGCAUCCUGGACUGGUCCUGACACUCAGGAGCGAAAGCGUGGGGAGCGAUCCGG
rnacentral:rRNA from 1 species